rnacentral:rRNA from 1 species
GACGAACGCUGGCGGCGUGCCUAACACAUGCAAGUCGAACGGUGAACCUCUUCGGAGGGGAUCAGUGGCGCACGGGUGAGUAACACGUGCGCAACCUGCCCCCGGCUCUGGGAGAACUCCAUGAAAUUGGGGCUAAUACUCGAUGUUCACCGCUUCCCUCAUCGUUGGUUGUGAAAACGUUUUCCGGCUGGGUUUGGGCCCUCGGCCUAUCAGCUUGUUGGUAGGGUAGUGUCCUACCAGGGCCACGACAGGUAGCCGGCCUGGGAGGGGCACCGGCCACACUAGGACUGAGACACGGCACAGACUCGUACGGGACGCAGAGGUGGAGAAUAUUACGCAAGAGGCGGAAGCCUGACGUGGCGACGCCACGUGGGGGAUGCCGGGAUUCGCGUUGUGAACCAAUUUCAGCAGGCACGAGGCGCAAAUGACGGUACCUGCAGAAGAAGCACCGGCUAACUACGUG